GGGUUGUGAGGUUAAGCGACUAAGCGUACACGGUGGAUGCCCUGGCAGUCAGAGGCGAUGAAGGACGUGCUAAUCUGCGAAAAGCGUCGGUAAGGUGAUAUGAACCGUUAUAACCGGCGAUGUCCGAAUGGGGAAACCCAGUGCAAUUCGUUGCACUAUCGUUAACUGAAUACAUAGGUUAACGAGGCGAACCGGGGGAACUGAAACAUCUAAGUACCCCGAGGAAAAGAAAUCAACCGAGAUUCCCCCAGUAGCGGCGAGCGAACGGGGAGCAGCCCAGAGUCUGAAUCAGCUUGUGUGUUAGUGGAACGGUCUGGAAAGUCCGACGGUACAGGGUGAUAGUCCCGUACACCAAAAUGCACAGGCUGUGAACUCGAAGAGUAGGGCGGGACACGUGGUAUCCUGUCUGAAUAUGGGGGGACCAUCCUCCAAGGCUAAAUACUCCUGACUGACCGAUAGUGAACCAGUACCGUGAGGGAAAGGCGAAAAGAACCCCGGCGAGGGGAGUGAAAAAGAACCUGAAACCGUGUACGUACAAGCAGUGGGAGCACCUUCGGGUG
rnacentral:rRNA from 1 species